rnacentral:tRNA from 1 species
UGGCUAAGAGGUUAAAGCAUCUGCCUCCAAUGCAGGAGACCCAGGUUCGAUCCCUGG